AUUGAACGCUGGCGGCAGGCCUAACACAUGCAAGUCGAACGAGUGGCGGACGGGUGAGUAAUGUCUGGGAAACUGCCCGAUGGAGGGGGAUAACUACUGGAAACGGUAGCUAAUACCGCAUACCAUCGGAUGUGCCCAGAUGGGAUUAGCUUGUAGGUGAGGUAACGGCUCACCUAGGCGACGAUCCCUAGCUGGUCUGAGAGGAUGACCAGCAACGCUGGAACUGAGACACGGUCCAGACUCCUACGUGAGGUAGCAGUGGGGAAUAUUGCACAAGGGGCGCAAUGCUGAGGCAGCCAUGACGCGUGUAUGAAGAAGGACUUCGGGUUGUAAAGUAAUUUCAGCGGGGAGGCGGUCCAAGCAGAAGAAGCACCGGCUAACUCCGUGACAGCAGCCGCGGUAAUAC
rnacentral:rRNA from 1 species